CCUACGGGUGGCAGCAGUGAGGAAUAUUGGUCAAUGGGCGUAAGCCUGAACCAGCCAAGUCGCGUGAGGGAUGACGGUUCUAUGGAUCGUAAACCUCUUUUGUAAGGGAGUAAAGUGCGGGACGUGUCCCGUUUUGCAUGUACCUUAUGAAAAAGGAUCGGCUAACUCCGUGCCAGCAGCCGCGGUAAUACGGAGGAUCCGAGCGUUAUCCGGAUUUAUUGGGUUUAAAGGGUGCGUAGGCGGGCUUUUAAGUCAGCGGUGAAAUUUUGUGGCUCAACCACGGCCGUGCCGUUGAAACUGGCAGGCUUGAGUAUGUGAGAGGCAGGCGGAAUGCGUGGUGUAGCGGUGAAAUGCUUAGAUAUCACGCAGAACCCCGAUUGCGAAGGCAGCAUGCCAAGCCAUGACUGACGCUGAUGCACGAAAGCGUGGGGAUCAAACAGGAUUAGAUACCCUAGUAGUC
rnacentral:rRNA from 1 species